rnacentral:rRNA from 1 species
AGAGUUUGAUCAUGGCUCAGGACGAACGCUGGCGGCGUGCUUAACACAUGCAAGUCGAACGGAAAGGCCCUUCAGGGUACUCGAGUGGCGAACGGGUGAGUAACACGUGGGUGAUCUGCCCUGCACUUUGGGAUAAGCCUGGGAAACUGGGUCUAAUACCGAAUAUGACCAUGCACUUCCUGGUGUGUGGUGGAAAGCUUUUGCGGUGUGGGAUGGGCCCGCGGCCUAUCAGCUUGUUGGUGGGGUAAUGGCCUACCAAGGCGACGACGGGUAGCCGGCCUGAGAGGGUGACCGGUCACACUGGGACUGAGAUACGGCCCAGACUCCUACGGGAGGCAGCAGUGGGGAAUAUUGCACAAUGGGCGCAAGCCUGAUGCAGCGACGCCGCGUGAGGGAUGACGGCCUUCGGGUUGUAAACCUCUUUCAGCACAGACGAAGCGCAAGUGACGGUAUGUGCAGAAGAAGGACCGGCCAACUACGUGCCAGCAGCCGCGGUAAUACGUAGGGUCCGAGCGUUGUCCGGAAUUACAGGGCGUAAAGAGCUCGUAGGUGGUUUGUCGCGUUGUUCGUGAAAACUCACAGCUUAACUGUGGGCGUGCGGGCGAUACGGGCAGACUUGAGUACUGCAGGGGAGACUGGAAUUCCUGGUGUAGCGGUGGAAUGCGCAGAUAUCAGGAGGAACACCGGUGGCGAAGGCGGGUCUCUGGGCAGUAACUGACGCUGAGAAGCGAAAGCGUGGGGAGCGAACAGGAUUAGAUACCCCGGUAGUCC